rnacentral:rRNA from 1 species
AGUGAACGCUGGCGGCAGGCCUAACACAUGCAAGUCGAGCGGCAGCGCGUCCGACCACCCUCGGGUGGUCGGAUGGCGGCGAGCGGCGGACGGGUGAGGAAUGCAUCGGAAUCUGCCUCGUUGUGGGGGAUAACGUAGGGAAACUUACGCUAAUACCGCAUACGACCUACGGGUGAAAGUGGGGGACCUUCGGGCCUCGCACUAUUGGAUGAGCCUAUGUCAGAUUAGCUUGUUGGUGGGGUAACGGCCUACCAAGGCGACGAUCUGUAGCUGGUCUGAGAGGACGAUCAGCCACACUGGGACUGAGACACGGCCCAGACUCCUACGGGAGGCAGCAGUGGGGAAUAUUACACAAUGGGCGAAAGCCUGAUGCAGCAAUGCCGCGUGUGUGAAGAAGGCCUGCGGGUUGUAAAGCACCUUCAGUAGGGAGGAAACAGUAGCCGGUUAAUAUCCGGUUGCCUUGACGUUACCUACAGAAGAAGCACCGGCUAACUCUGUG